GCGCGAUACAGGGUGACAGCCCCGUACACAAAAGCGCAUGUGCUGUGAGCUCGAUGAGUAGGGCGGGACACGUGGUAUCCUGUCUGAAUAUGGGGGGACCAUCCUCCAAGGCUAAAUACUCCUGACUGACCGAUAGUGAACCAGUACCGUGAGGGAAAGGCGAAAAGAACCCCGGCGAGGGGAGUGAAAAAGAACCUGAAACCGUGUACGUACAAGCAGUGGGAGCACAGGUUUACCUGUGUGACUGCGUACCUUUUGUAUAAUGGGUCAGCGACUUAUAUUCUGUAGCAAGGUUAACCGUAUAGGGGAGCCGUAGGGAAACCGAGUCUUAACCGGGCGUUAAGUUGCAGGGUAUAGACCCGAAACCCGGUGAUCUAGCCAUGGGCAGGUUGAAGGUUGGGUAACACUAACUGGAGGACCGAACCGACUAAUGUUGAAAAAUUAGCGGAUGACCUGUGGCUGGGGGUGAAAGGCCAAUCAAACCGGGAGAUAGCUGGUUCUCCCCGAAAGCUAUUUAGGUAGCGCCUCGUGAAUUCAUCUCCGGGGGUAGAGCACUGUUUCGGCUAGGGGGCCAUCCCGGCUUACCAACCCGAUGCAAACUGCGAAUACCGGAGAAUGUUAUCACGGGAGACACACGGCGGGUGCUAACGUCCGUCGUGAAGAGGGAAACAACCCAGACCGCCAGCUAAGGUCCCAAAGUCAUGGUUAAGUGGGAAACGAUGUGGGAAGGCCCAGACAGCCAGGAUGUUGGCUUAGAAGCAGCCAUCAUUUAAAGAAAGCGUAAUAGCUCACUGGUCGAGUCGGCCUGCGCGGAAGAUGUAACGGGGCUAAACCAUGCACCGAAGCUGCGGCAGCGAACGUAUCACCCAAGACAACUUUACGGAGUUGACGAUUGACGGAGCGAAGCGACGUCAAAGCGUUCAUUAAAGUCGAGUUGGCUUAGGGAUACGUUCGUUGGGUAGGGGAGCGUUCUGUAAGCCUGUGAAGGUGUGUCGUGAGGCAUGCUGGAGGUAUCAGAAGUGCGAAUGCUGACAUAAGUAACGAUAAAGCGGGUGAAAAGCCCGCUCGCCGGAAGACCAAGGGUUCCUGUCCAACGUUAAUCGGGGCAGGGUGAGUCGACCCCUAAGGCGAGGCCGAAAGGCGUAGUCGAUGGGAAACGGGUUAAUAUUCCCGUACUUGGUGUUACUGCGAAGGGGGGACGGAGAAGGCUAUGUUGGCCGGGCGACGGUUGUCCCGGUUUAAGCGUGUAGGUGUGUGUUCCAGGUAAAUCCGGUUCACUUUAACACUGAGGCGUGACGACGAGGCACUACGGUGCUGAAGCAACAAAUGCCCUGCUUCCAGGAAAAGCCUCUAAGCAUCAGGUAACACGAAAUCGUACCCCAAACCGACACAGGUGGUCAGGUAGAGAAUACCAAGGCGCUUGAGAGAACUCGGGUGAAGGAACUAGGCAAAAUGGUGCCGUAACUUCGGGAGAAGGCACGCUGACACGUAGGUGAAGUGAUUUACUCAUGGAGCUGAAGUCAGUCGAAGAUACCAGCUGGCUGCAACUGUUUAUUAAAAACACAGCACUGUGCAAACACGAAAGUGGACGUAUACGGUGUGACGCCUGCCCGGUGCCGGAA
rnacentral:rRNA from 1 species